GGAAAUCCAGGCAUCUUAUGCAAGACCUCACUGGAGGAAAAAGUGGUGGACCUCCACAAUUUCAGUCCUCCGAGACUCCUGGAUUACCAUGGCAUGAAAUGCUGUCAUGCCUGCAAGAAAAAUAAGAUACCCCCACUCCAAGACCGUCAUGGAUAUCCAGGUUAUCCGCAGCAGUAACGACUGCAGUGUGCUGCGAACCACCUCGGCCAGGAUCGUUAUCUGCAGCCUUGUUUACAAACUGGGGCUAAGUGUCUCAUCAUAAUACAGUACUGUGUUUGUAGUAAUUUGUAAAUUGGUGUUAUGCCUUUAUUCAAGA